GCAGCUUAGCUCGGUCGGUUAGCAUGUGGUGCUGAUAACGUCAAGGUUGCAGGUUCGAUCCCUGUGUGGGACA